CCUACGGGAGGCAGCAGUGGGGAAUUUUGGACAAUGGGGGCAACCCUGAUCCAGCAAUGCCGCGUGAGUGAAGAAGGCCUUCGGGUUGUAAAGCUCUUUUGUCAGGGAAGAAACGGCAGUUUCUAAUACAAGCUGCUAAUGACGGUACCUGAAGAAUAAGCACCGGCUAACUACGUGCCAGCAGCCGCGGUAAUACGUAGGGUGCAAGCGUUAAUCGGAAUUACUGGGCGUAAAGCGUGCGCAGGCGGUUAUAUAAGUCAGAUGUGAAAUCCCCGGGCUCAACCUGGGAACUGCAUUUGAGACUGUAUGGCUAGAGUGUGUCAGAGGGGGGUAGAAUUCCACGUGUAGCAGUGAAAUGCGUAGAUAUGUGGAGGAAUACCGAUGGCGAAGGCAGCCCCCUGGGAUAACACUGACGCUCAUGCACGAAAGCGUGGGGAGCAAACAGGAUUAGAUACCCUGGUAGUCCACGCCCUAAACGAUGUCUACUAGUUGUCGGGUCUUAAUUGACUUGGUAACGCAGCUAACGCGUGAAGUAGACCGCCUGGGGAGUACGGUCGCAAGAUUAAAACUCAAAGGAUUGACGG
rnacentral:rRNA from 1 species